UACGUAGGGGGCGAGCGUUGUCCGGAUUUAUUGGGCGUAAAGAGCGUGUAGGCGGCCAAGUAAGUCCGGUGUGAAAACUCGAGGCUUAACCUCGAGAUGUCAUCGGAAACUAUUUGGCUAGAGUCCGGAAGAGGAGAGUGGAAUUCCUGGUGUAGCGGUGAAAUGCGCAGAUAUCAGGAAGAACACCUAUGGCGAAAGCAGCUCUCUGGGACGGUACUGACGCUGAGACGCGAAAGCGUGGGGAGCGAACAGG
rnacentral:rRNA from 1 species